rnacentral:rRNA from 1 species
AGUAACACGUAUCCAACCUGCCGUCUACUCUUGACAGCCUUCUGAAAGGAAGAUUAAUACAAGAUGGCAUCAUGAGUCCGCAUGUUCACAUGAUUAAAGGUAUUCCGGUAGACGAUGGGGAUGCGUUCCAUUAGAUAGUAGGCGGGGUAACGGCCCACCUAGUCUUCGAUGGAUAGGGGUUCUGAGAGGAAGGUCCCCCACAUUGGAACUGAGACACGGUCCAA